GUUACAAACUGAAACAGGAAGUGUUUCUGGACCAGUGUUGUUUACAUCUUUUGAAAUGGUCUAUAGGCGCCAAUUUUGCAGAUGUGGAAACUAACGUUCGUUGACAGAGUGACUACAUUUUUAUCUGGAGCCUCGCUACGUUUUUGGAGUAAGUUAAUAAUAAGUGGAACCUCUCAUUGCAUCAAAGAUGGAGCAGACCUUCUCAAUGUGAAGACAUGAGAUUGUGGGCAGAUGGAGCAGUGCAUUGGAGCUCUUUUUACAGAGAGACAAGUGUUUGCAGAGUUUGAAAGGAUAGUCACCACAGAUCUGCAGACAGCAGAGUAACUUUAAUGGUGCUGUGGAUCUCUACACACCACGCUUUGUCACAAUCUUCAAGUCUUCAAGAAGCAUUGGAGAGAAAUUGGAUGGGCUUAUGCAGCAAAUUAAUACAGAGGUAUGUGAUAUUGAUGAAGCCUGGGCACAAGUAUCUGUUGGGGACUGUCAUUGAUGAAGAACUUCUCUCUCUCUAACUCUCUGUCUACUGCCAUCAUUGUUGAGAGAGGUAUUGUAAUGGAUAAUCUGCAGAACCUGCCUCAGGCAAUUUGCAUCUAUUUUGGUCAGUCUUAUGCUUUAAAUUUGGAUUUCGCAAAAGAAAUAAACACUUUUAACUUCA